GAUGAAGAACGCAGCGAAAUGCGAUAAGUAAUGUGAAUUGCAGAAUUCAGUGAAUCAUCGAAUCUUUGAACGCACAUUGCGCCCGCCAGAAUACUGGCGGGCAUGCCUGUUCGAGCGUCAUUUCAACCAUCAAGCCCCCGGGCUUGUGUUGGGGACCUGCGGCUGCCGCAGGCCCUGAAAACCAGUGGCGGGCUCGCUAGUCACUCCGAGCGUAGUAGUUACAUCUCGCUCAGGGCGUGCUGCGGGUUCCGGCCGUUAAAAGCCUUUUACCCCAAGGUUGACCUCGGAUCAGGUAGGAAGACCCGCUGAACUUAAGCAUAUCAAUAAGCGGAGGA
rnacentral:misc_RNA from 1 species